rnacentral:lncRNA from 1 species
AUGUGAUAUAAGAAAAGUUUUUAUCGAUACGCUUCUUCCAUAGACUAAAACAACUCAAACCAAAAUUGUAAUUGCCUUAUAUAUGUACAAAACAAAAAAUUAACAAAAUAAUAUGAUAUACAGAUAUAACGAAAACCACUGAAUUACAUGCUCCUGUUUUAGACAUCCACAUUACAGAAUGUGGUUGCAAAAUAUUUCCUCUAAACUUGGACAGCGUAGUAACAGCCCAACUUGAGAAUACACUUUUAAAAUUCAGUUGAAAAAAAAAAGGUUUGAUUCAUCAGACCGAAAGACAUGCAUGCUCUAACAAAAAUACUCAAGAUAAUGAAAAUAUUAACCAUUACAUCUAAUUCAACAUUAAAAAAUCAGAAAACAAUCUAC